rnacentral:snoRNA from 1 species
AUAUCAUUAUUUGGGCAUUCCUUGACCAUUGUCCGGUAUCGCUCCCAGAUUUCAUGUAGGGGUUCAUUAGGUUCUUGUUUAAAGGCUAAGAUCUCAUCCCUGAAUGU